rnacentral:rRNA from 2 species
UACGGAGGGUGCAAGCGUUAUCCGGAUUUACUGGGUUUAAAGGGUGCGUAGGUGGGCAGGUAAGUCAGUGGUGAAAUCUUCAAGCUUAACUUGGAAACUGCCAUUGAUACUAUUUGUCUUGAAUUAUCUGGAGGUAAGCGGAAUAUGUCAUGUAGCGGUGAAAUGCUUAGAUAUGACAUAGAACACCCAUUGCGAAGGCAGCUUACUACGGAUAUAUUGACACUGAGGCACGAAAGCGUGGGGAUCAAACAGG